rnacentral:rRNA from 1 species
AUUGAACGCUGGCGGCAUGCCUUACACAUGCAAGUCGAACGGCAGCACGGGUGCUUGCACCUGGUGGCGAGUGGCGAACGGGUGAGUAAUACAUCGGAACGUACCUUAUCGUGGGGGAUAACGCAGCGAAAGCUGUGCUAAUACCGCACACGCCCUGAGGGGGAAAGCGGGGGAUCGAAAGACCCCGCGCGAUUAGAGCGGCCGAUGCCUGAUUAGCUUGUUGGUGGGGUAAAAGCCCACCAAGGCGACGAUCAGUAGCUGGUCUGAGAGGACGAUCAGCCACACUGGGACUGAGACACGGCCCAGACUCCUACGGGAGGCAGCAGUGGGGAAUUUUGGACAAUGGGGGCAACCCUGAUCCAGCAAUGCCGCGUGAGUGAAGAAGGCCUUCGGGUUGUAAAGCUCUUUUGUCAGGGAAGAAACACCGGCUCUAACACAGUCCGGGAAUGACGGUACCUGAAGAAUAAGCACCGGCUAACUACGUGCCAGCAGCCGCAGUAA